rnacentral:rRNA from 1 species
AAUCAACGCUGGCGGCGUGCCUCAGACAUGCAAGUCGAACGAUUAAAGCUCUCUUCGGAGAGUGUAUAGAGUGGCGCACGGGUGAGUAACACGUAAGUAAUCUACCUCUGAGUGGGGAAUAACGUUCGGAAACGGACGCUAAUACCGCAUAAUGCAGCGGCACCGCAAGGUGACAGUUGUUAAAGAUUUAUCGCUUAGAGAGGAGCUUGCGGCAGAUUAGCUAGUUGGUAAGGUAAUGGCUUACCAAGGCUACGAUCUGUAACCGGUCUUAGAGGACGGUCGGUCACACUGACACUGAAUAACGGGUCAGGGCUCCUACGGGAGGCAGCAGCCGGGAAUUUUUGGGCAAUGGGCGAAAGCCUGACCCAGCAACGCCGCGUGAAGGAUGAAGUAUUUCGGUAUGUAAACUUCGAAAGAAUA